rnacentral:tRNA from 1 species
AAUAAAGUGCCUGACAAAAGGGUUAUCGUGAUAGGAUAAAACAUGUAAUUAUCAAUUACCUUUAUUA